rnacentral:rRNA from 1 species
UACCUGUCAUACUUUUGGAUGAACAACAACAUGACUAGAGAUGCUCUCGGGAUCAAGCAGGGGACAGUCGGUGAGUGGGUAAGAUGCAAAAGAGAACUCCCCUACAAAUAUGACAUGUCAAGCAGCAUACCAUACCAUCUCAACCUCACCAUUAGAGGUUAUCGUGCACUCGUGUAUAGGUGA